rnacentral:rRNA from 15 species
UGCUGGAGGUAUCAGAAGUGCGAAUGCUGACAUGAGUAACGAUAAUGGGUGUGAAAAACACCCACGCCGAAAGACCAAGGUUUCCUGCGCAACGUUAAUCGACGCAGGGUUAGUCGGUCCCUAAGGCGAGGCUGAAAAGCGUAGUCGAUGGAAAACAGGUUAAUAUUCCUGUACUUCUGGUUAUUGCGAUGGAGGGACGGAGAAGGCUAGGCCAGCUUGGCGUUGGUUGUCCAAGUUUAAGGUGGUAGGCUGGAAUCUUAGGUAAAUCCGGGAUUCUAAGGCCGAGAGCUGAUGACGAGUUAUCUUUUAGAUGACGAAGUGGUUGAUGCCAUGCUUCCAAGAAAAGCUUCUAAGCUUCAGGUAACCAGGAACCGUACCCCAAACCGACACAGGUGGUUGGGUAGAGAAUACCAAGGCGCUUGAGAGAACUCGGGUGAAGGAACUAGGCAAAAUGGCACCGUAACUUCGGGAGAAGGUGCGCCGGUGAGGGUGAAGGACUUGCUCCGUAAGCUCAUGCCGGUCGAAGAUACCAGGCCGCUGCGACUGUUUAUUAAAAACACAGCACUCUGCAAACACGAAAGUGGACGUAUAGGGUGUGACGCCUGCCCGGUGCUGGAAGAUUAAAUGAUGGGGUGCAAGCUCUUGAUUGAAGUCCCAGUAAACGGCGGCCGUAACAAUAACGGUCCUAAGGUAGCGAAAUUCCUUGUCGGGUAAGUUCCGACCUGCACGAAUGGCGUAACGACUUCCCCGCUGUCUCAACCGCGAACUCGGCGAAAUUGCACUACGAGUAAAGAUGCUCGUUACGCGCAGCAGGACGGAAAGACCCCGGGACCUUCACUAUAGCUUGGUAUUGGUGUUCGGGACGGCUUGUGUAGGAUAGGUGGGAGACUGUGAAGCGGUCACGCUAGUGAUGGUGGAGUCAACGUUGAAAUACCACUCUGGUCGUUCUGGAUGUCUAACUUCGGUCCGUGAUCCGGAUCAGGGACAGUGCCUGGUGGGUAGUUUAACUGGGGCGGUUGCCUCCUAAAGAGUAACGGAGGCGCCCAAAGGUUCCCUCAGCCUGGUUGGCAAUCAGGUGUUGAGUGUAAGUGCACAAGGGAGCUUGACUGUGAGACAGACAUGUCGAGCAGGGACGAAAGUCGGGACUAGUGAUCCGGCAGUGGCUUGUGGAAGCGCUGUCGCUCAACGGAUAAAAGGUACCCCGGGGAUAACAGGCUGAUCUUGCCCAAGAGUCCAUAUCGACGGCAUGGUUUGGCACCUCGAUGUCGGCUCGUCGCAUCCUGGGGCUGGAGUAGGUCCCAAGGGUUGGGCUGUUCGCCCAUUAAAGCGGUACGCGAGCUGGGUUUAGAACGUCGUGAGACAGUUCGGUCCCUAUCUGCCGUGGACGUUUGAGAUUUGAGAGGGGCUGCUCCUAGUACGAGAGGACCGGAGUGGACGAACCUCUGGUGUUCCGGUUGUCACGCCAGUGGCAUCGCCGGGUAGCUAUGUUCGGAAUAGAUAACCGCUGAAAGCAUCUAAGCGGGAAACUAGCCUCAAGAUGAGAUCUCACUGGAACCUUGAGUUCCCUGAAGGGCCGUCGAAGACUACGACGUUGAUAGGUUGGAUGUGGAAGCAUAGUGAUAUGUGAAGCUGACCAAUACUAAUUGCUCGU